GGUUCACCACCCCGCCGAAGAGCGUGUCCUUGUUGAUGGGGAUGGAGGAGACGGCGUUGUUGUUAGACUUGGAGAGGGACACGGGGCCUGCAGGGAGGGAGGAGCAGGGAGGGUUUGGGGACCAGUUUCCAAGCCAUUCCAUUCGAAGUGAAGCAAGCGCACAGUAGCCAACGAAAGCCAAACCACCCUGAUGGACAAGCCAUCAGCUGCCAGAAACUGGCUCCCUGUUCUCCAGCAGCCCACCUCGUCACCGCCGCGGUUUAAAUAAGAAAACCCGAAGGAGGGGGAAACAACGGGUUUUUUUCCCUCUUUCACAGCCUAGUUUACCAACAACGAACAAACCCCGCCGCUCAGCCAGAUGCAUGGGGCAAACCACGAGACCGAAUUGUUUGCUAAAGCACUAAAAUACCGGCUCGGAUUUUCUAGAUCAUCUGCUAACAUUUUUCCUCGUUAACGACAACAAUUAAAAUACCCGGCAAACGUAGCCGUUUAGGAGGACAGA